rnacentral:snoRNA from 1 species
UUCCAUGGUGAGGACAGUCUGAUAUAUAUCCUUGAAAACGCUCCCAUGCUUCGAAAAUGGUUUCAAUCUUUUGCUGUUGGAAACUGACAAUAUUUCCUCUUAAGGCA